AUUGAACGCUGGCGGCAUGCCUAACACAUGCAAGUCGAACGGUAGCAGGGAGUCUGGUGCUGGAUUGAGGGGCGGAGGGGUGUAACAUGCCUAGGAGUCCGCAUGGGAGUGGGGGAACGCGUCCGAAAACGGGCUAAUAUCCCGCGUACGUCGAGUGGGAGAACGUGGGGGAGCUUCGGACCGCUUGGCAUCAGGUGAGCGUAGGUCGGAUUAGCUAGUUGGUGGGGUAAAGGGCUACAAAGGCGACGAUCCGUAACUGGUCUGAGAGGAUGAGCAGUCACACUGGAACUGAGACACGGCCCAGACUCCUACGGGAGGCAGCAGUGGGGAAUAUUGGACAAUGGGCGAAAGCCUGAUCCAGCCAUGCCGCGUGUGGGAAGAAGGUCUUCGGAUUGUAAAGCGCUUUAGGUUGGAAGGAAGUGCAGUAAGUUAAUACCGGGCGGUAAUGACGGUACCGGCAGAAUAAGCACCGGCUAACUUCGUG
rnacentral:rRNA from 1 species